UACCUGGUUGAUCCUGCCAGUAGUCAUAUGCUUGUCUCAAAGAUUAAGCCAUGCAUGUCUAAGUAUAAGCACUUGUACUGUGAAACUGCGAAUGGCUCAUUAAAUCAGUUAUCGUUUAUUUGAUUGUACUUUACUACAUGGAUACCUGUGGUAAUUCUAGAGCUAAUACAUGCGAAAAAUCCCGACUUCUGGAAGGGAUGUAUUUAUUAGAUUAAAAACCAAUGCGGAUCUUCGGGUCCGUUUUCUCGGUGAUUCAUGAUAACUUUUCGAAUCGCAUGGCCUAGCGCCGGCGAUAUUUCAUUCAAAUUUCUGCCCUAUCAACUGUCGAUGGUAAGGUAGUGGCUUACCAUGGUUAUAACGGGUGACGGAGAAUUAGGGUUCGAUUCCGGAGAGGGAGCCUGAGAAACGGCUACCACAUCUAAGGAAGGCAGCAGGCUCGAAAAUUACCCAAUCCCAACUCGGGGAGGUAGUGACAAGAAAUAACGAUACGGGGUCUUAAUAGGUCUCGCAAUUGGAAUGAGUACAAUUUAAAUCCUUUAACGAGGAUCAAUUGGAGGGCAAGUCUGGUGCCAGCAGCCGCGGUAAUUCCAGCUCCAAUAGC
rnacentral:rRNA from 1 species